AAUGCUCGCAAGAGUGAUCCAGCCAUGCCGCGUGCAGGAAGACGGCCCUAUGGGUUGUAAACUGCUUUUGAACUAGAGAAAACCCCCCUUCGUGAAGGGGGCUGAUAGUAUAGUUAGAAUAAGCAUCGGCUAACUUCGUGCCAGCAGCCGCGGUAAGACGAAGGAUGCAAGCGUUAUCCGGAUUCAUUGGGUUUAAAGGGAGCGUAGGUGGAUUUGUAAGUCAGUGGUGAAAGCCGGCAGCUUAACUGUCGAACUGCCAUUGAUACUGCGGAUCUUGAGUAUGGUUGCUGUGGGCGGAAUAUGACAUGUAGAGGUGAAAUUCAUAGAGAUGUCAUAGAACACCGAUUGCGAAGGCAGCUCACAAAACCAUUACUGACACUGAGGCUCGAAAGUGCGGGGAUCAAA
rnacentral:rRNA from 1 species